rnacentral:rRNA from 2 species
GACCUGAGAGGGUGAUCGGCCACACUGGGACUGAGACACGGCCCAGACUCCUACGGGAGGCAGCAGUAGGGAAUCUUCCGCAAUGGACGAAAGUCUGACGGAGCAACGCCGCGUGAGUGAUGAAGGUUUUCGGAUCGUAAAGCUCUGUUGUUAGGGAAGAACAAGUGCCGUUCAAAUAGGGCGGCACCUUGACGGUACCUAACCAGAAAGCCACGGCUAACUACGUGCCAGCAGCCGCGGUAAUACGUAGGUGGCAAGCGUUGUCCGGAAUUAUUGGGCGUAAAGGGCUCGCAGGCGGUUUCUUAAGUCUGAUGUGAAAGCCCCCGGCUCAACCGGGGAGGGUCAUUGGAAACU